rnacentral:rRNA from 1 species
CCUACGGGAGGCAGCAGUAGGGAAUAUUGCUCAAUGGGGGAAACCCUGAAGCAGUAACGCCGCGUGGAGGAUGAAGGCUUUCGGAUUGUAAACUCCUUUUGUUAGAGAAGAUAAUGACGGUAUCUAACGAAUAAGCACCGGCUAACUCCGUGCCAGCAGCCGCGGUAAUACGGAGGGUGCAAGCGUUACUCGGAAUCACUGGGCGUAAAGAGCGCGUAGGCGGGAUAGCAAGUCAGAUGUGAAAUCCUAUGGCUUAACCAUAGAACUGCAUUUGAAACUGUUAUUCUAGAGUAUGGGAGAGGUAGGUGGAAUUCUUGGUGUAGGGGUAAAAUCCGUAGAGAUCAAGAAGAAUACUCAUUGCGAAGGCGACCUGCUAGAACAUAACUGACGCUGAUGCGCGAAAGCGUGGGUAGCAAACAGGAUUAGAUACCCCAGUAGUC